CAACAGGACUAACAAUGCUGUGGACACCUACUGUGACCAAAAAACCUUAAUUGAAAUGGGGAAUAUUCUUGAAGUCUGAAAAAAUGGAUUCUGUGAUGCAGUGAAAAUUCACAUGGAAGGAUCCUGCUUAAGAGGCUUCUUAAAUAUGAUCCAUCCCGUUCCACAGUUUGAAGAUGGAGGAGUGUGUAGCCCAGGUUGCCUGAGUUGUGGGGACCAAGAGGAAACAAGAGAGAGACUCAUCAGUCAUCAAAUUCAUAUCUGAAGCAGUGUAACCCUGGCCUUAUUACUAGCUGUGAUCUGGCUGCUCAUAUGGCUUUUGAUCACCCUGUUCUCACUGCAAUCCACUCUUUUUCUUUUGGAGAAGGACGGAAUAAGACUUUCCACGGUCAAAUGAUGAUGCCUGAAAUAAGUUCAGAGUUGGAGAGAAUGAUGUCUCAGUACAGGUAGUGCAAUUGACUUCAAGAUGCAGGGUGGAAAAUUUUGGUAAGUAA